UAGUUUGAUCCUGGUCCAGAGCGAACGCUGGCGGCAGGCUUAACACAUGCAAGUCGAACGGGCGUAGCAAUACGUCAGUGGCAGACGGGUGAGUAACGCGUGGGAACGUACCUUUUGGUUCGGAACAACUGAGGGAAACUUCAGCUAAUACCGGAUAAGCCCUUACGGGGAAAGAUUUAUCGCCGAAAGAUCGGCCCGCGUCUGAUUAGCUAGUUGGUGAGGUAAUGGCUCACCAAGGCGACGAUCAGUAGCUGGUCUGAGAGGAUGAUCAGCCACAUUGGGACUGAGACACGGCCCAAACUCCUACGGGAGGCAGCAGUGGGGAAUAUUGAACAAUGGGC
rnacentral:rRNA from 1 species